ACCCAGAUCUUGCAGCGGCGCGUCCUUUGAACGGCGACGAAUCUUCACGGCGGCGCCAUAGCAUGCAGCAGGUGGGGUCUUGAACGACGGCGAGCUCUGCAACAGCGACGAACCCAACGGCCUUUGAUUUCGUUGGAAACCAAGUGAUUAGUUUGAUACGACUUGCAUAUGAGCAAACUUGUAACACUAGGAGGCUUGGUUUUUGGAGGGAUUGUAUUGCAGUUUUUGGCGCACUUGUAGUUGGUCAGACGUUCACUAAUGAAUAUGGGAUCUAAUUCUUUGAGACGCAGCACCAAGUGACUCGGAAUAGGACGCGAGGUGGUGGUGGAAAUUGAAACGACGGGAGGCUGGAAAUGAAGAACAAAGCUCAAGACUCGAUUCACAAUCUCAGCUAGGUCGUCGGAAAUGUAAGUUUUUAGGUUCCCUUUCCUUGGGUGCUCUUUUUUCACGCUAUUUCGUGCCAGAGUCUUGAUUCCAUUCUUUAAUAGAUUAACUGGCAAAGAAAAUGAACUUGCGAGGGCUAAUCCAGUGUCACUCAAAAGAUUGGUAUGACUUUGUCAGUAAUUAUUUUCACAAUGGUUCCCUAUAUUUUCAAAAUGAUGAAAUCAGGUUUUUCCAAAAAAAAAAAAAAAUAAAAUUUACCGAGGAGGAGGCUCAACCUCUGCCACAAGCUGCCAAACCAAGUUAUUUCACGUUCCUCCUCAAACUGGUUGUUCAAAUUGGAACAAUUCUCAUAUCUAAGCAUUUGAACACCGAUCGAUAUAUGUUCAGUAGUCUGGUUAGUUAGCUUGUGUAUGACCCUUUUCUUUGUCACAAAGUACUUCCAACCCAAAAACAACUAUGGAGUCUCUAACUCCCUGGUCAAUCUCGCAACUACGGCUAGUCUUGAUCUUCUCCAUUCGUGUGGGUUAUAUAUUUGUCUGAUGUUUUUAGGUCUACUUAUCUUUUCUAACAAUUUUAUGUAAGUGUGUAUUUGGCUGGUUCAGGUCUAAUGAUCAUUUUUUUACCAGUUUUAUUCAAAGUUCAUGUACACACUCCUUUGAAGUGUUUCUUGAGGAGGACAAAACUAUGUAAUAUUUUUUAAUCCGAGAUAUUUGUGACUUUAAUUUUGCUUUAUGUUGAAACAUUUAUGUUUAAGACAUUAGUCUAUCAGAUUACGUGACAAUUUUAGUUGCCAAAUAAGCACAGACCGGRCGAUCAGUUGCUGCUUAAAAUUAAUUAAUCAAUAAUCAAAAUCCAAUUAAUUCAAACUUCUUCCCAAAAGUUUCAUUCCAUUCCAUUUCAUGAAGCAAUUUUAUAGUUUGAUUCAUGAUUUUGUUUCCUCGAUCUUUUUUUUUCCCUUGAUUUCAUAAACAAACUUAAUUGCAGUUUUUCUUGAUCCUUUUAUUAGUUUUCUUUCCUUUUUAAUUUUGUUGUUGUGAGUUUUGCUUGGCGGUGGGAAGUUUGUGAAAAUUGUGUUAGUAAUAAAAUCAUGCUUCAUGAAAUGGAAUGGAAUGAAAUUUUUGGGAAGAAAUUUGAAUUAAUUGGAUUUUGAUUGAUUGAUUAAUUUUAAGCCGCAACUAAUCUCGGGUCUGCAUUUAUCUGGCAACUAAAAUUUGUAUGUAAUCUGGUAGACUAAUAUCUUAAACGUAAAUAUUUCAACAGAAAGCGAAAUUAAAGUCACAAAUAUCUCGGACUAAAAAAUAUUGCAUAGUUUUGUCCUCCUAAAAAAAACACUUAAAAAAUGUGUACAUGAACMUGAAUMAAACUGGUAAAAAAAAGAUCAUUAGACAACCAACCAAAUACACACUCACAUAAAAGUGUUAGAAAAGAUGAGUAGACCCAAAAACAUCCAGCAAAUAUAUAACCCACGGAAUGAGGAAAACCAAGACUAGUCGUAGUUGUGAGACUGACUCRUAGUUGUUUUUGAGUUGGAAGUAUUUGGUGGCAAAGAAAUGAGUCAUACACAAGCUAACUAACCASGCUACAGAACAUAGAUCAAUGUAUGAGAAAGUAGAUGAGAAUGGUUCCGAUUUGAACUACAAGUUUGAGGAGGCAUGUGAAAUAACUUGGUUUGCCAGCUUGCGGCUAAGUCGGUGCCUCUUCCUCGGUGUGUUCCAGAAAAAUGAGAAAAACCAGAUUUCACCAUUUCGAAAGUAUAGGAACCAUUGUGAAAAUAAUUAGGCAAAGCUAUACCAACAUUUUGAGUGGCACCUCCCAAGUUCAUUCUCUUUACCACUUAGUUUAUUAAAGAAGGGAACCAAGACUCUGGUAGGAAAUGGGGUGAAAAAAGAGUCCCAGGAAAAUGGAACUCAAAAACUUACCUUUCCAGCGACGCAGCUAAGAUUCUGAAUCGAGUCUCGAACUUUCUUCUUCAUUUCUAACCUCUCGUCGUUUCRAUUUCCGYCUCCGCCUCGCGUCCGAUUCCAAGUCACUUGGUGCUACUGUUGCUUGUGCAUCAAUGCGAAGAUUUAAAAUGGAGAAACAAACACAAGAAUAAAGAAAGACGAUGGAGGAGAGAGACCAAAUAGGUGUAGAAGACAACAAGAAAAUUCUAAAAUAACUUGAAUUGUGUUUAGGAAAGGGCUGACGUCAAUCAUUUUUUUGUUUUUUAGAUGUGAAUUAUUAUUAUUAUUAUUUUUUGUUCUUAAAACUACAACCAAUAUUUUAGGUUGAAAUUUAGUUAGGACCUAAUUCAAAUUUCAAAUUAAUCAUGAGGACUUAAAA